rnacentral:sRNA from 1 species
GGAUAGAUUCCCAGAAGUGGGAUAACUGGAUCAGAGGGUGAUUACCCUGUGUAUAAGAGUAUGUGUCUCACUGCACCUUCAAUGGCAUUGAAUCGGCAGUAUUUAAACAGAUCACAUCAUGCGUGAGUACAAGCUAGUGGUCCUUGGUUCAGGAGGCGUUGGGAAGUCUGCUCUGACAGUUCAGUUUGUUCAGGGAAUUUUUGUUGAAAAAUAUGACCCAACGAUAGAAGAUUCCUACAGAAAGCAAGUUGAAGUCGAUUGCCAACAGUGUAUGCUCGAAAUCCUGGAUACUGCAGGGACAGAGCAAUUUACAGCAAUGAGGGAUUUGUAUAUGAAGAACGGCCAAGGUUUUGCACUAGUAUAUUCUAUUACAGCUCAGUCCACGUUUAACGACUUACAGGACCUGAGGGAACAGAUUUUACGGGUUAAGGACACGGAAGAUGUUCCAAUGAUUUUGGUUGGCAAUAAAUGUGACCUGGAAGAUGAGCGAGUAGUUGGCAAAGAGCAGGGCCAGAAUUUAGCAAGACAGUGGUGUAACUGUGCCUUUUUAGAAUCUUCUGCAAAGUCAAAGAUCAAUGUUAACGAGAUUUUUCUGUAGUUCAGAGAGAUGAGGAAGAACCUAGGCUGGGGCCUUUCAGCAUUUCUAACCAAAUAUUAUAGUUCGAACUUGCCCUCAUCACUGAACCAUCUGCUGCUGUGAGAUAUUUUAUGACCUGGUCAGACAGAUAAAUAGGAAAACACCAGUGGAAAAGAAGAAGCCUAAAAAGAAAUCAUGUCUGCUGCUCUAGGCCCAAAGUCAGCAGCAGCUCUGAGCCAGAUUACAGGAAUGAAGAACUGUUGCCUAAUUGGAAAGUGCCAGCAUUCCAGACUUCAAAAAUAAAAAAUCUGAAGAGGCUUCUCCUGUUUUAUAUAUUAUGUGAAGAAUUUAGAUCUUAUAUUCGUUUGCACAAGUUCCCUGGAGAAAAAAAUUGCUCUGUGUAUAUCUCUUGGAAAAUAAGACAAUAGUAUUUCUCCUUUGCAAUAGCAGUUAUAACAGAUGUGAAAAUAUACUUGACUCUAAUAUGAUUAUACAAAAGAGCAUGG